rnacentral:rRNA from 1 species
GGCUCAGGACGAACGCUGGCGGCGCGCUUAACACAUGCAAGUCGAGCGAGAACCAUGCCUUCGGGCAUGGGGACAGCGGCGAACGGGUGAGUAACACGUGGGUAAUCUGCCCUUGACAUCGGGAUAGCCCGGGGAAACCCGGAUUAAUACCGAAUAGCCUCCGAAGCCCUCGGGCGUCGGAGAAAAGGUAGCUUCGGCCUCUGGUCAAGGAUGAGCCCGCGGCGGAUUAGCUUGUUGGCGGGGUAACGGCCCACCAAGGCGACGAUCCGUAGCUGGUCUGAGAGGACGAUCAGCCACACUGGGACUGAGACACGGCCCAGACUCCUACGGGAGGCAGCAGUGGGGAAUCUUGCGCAAAUGCGGGAAACCGUGACGCAGCGACGCCGCGUGGGGGAAGAAGGCCUUCGGGUUGUAAACCUCUUUCAGGAGGGACGAAGCUACUCGGGUUAAUAGCCCAGAGGGUGACGGUACCUCCAGAAGAAGCCCCGGCUAACUACGUGCCAGCAGCCGCGGUAAUACGUAGGGGGCAAGCGUUGUCCGGAUUUAUUGGGCGUAAAGAGCGUGUAGGCGGCUUGGUAGGUCCGCUGUGAAAACUCGAGGCUCAACCUCGAGAUGUCGGCGGAAACCACUUGGCUAGAGUCCGGAAGAGGAGAGUGGAAUUCCUGGUGUAGCGGUGAAAUGCGCAGAUAUCAGGAAGAACACCUAUGGCGAAGGCAGCUCUCUGGGACGGUACUGACGCUGAGACGCGAAAGCGUGGGGAGCGAACAGGAUUAGAUACCCUGGUAGUCCACGCCGUAAACGAUGGGUGCUAGGUGUGGGCGGUGUCGACUCCGUCCGUGCCGAAGCUAACGCAUUAAGCACCCCGCCUGGGGAGUCG